rnacentral:rRNA from 1 species
CAGCCGCCGCGGUAAUACCGGCGGCCCGAGUGGCGGUCACUAUUAUUGGGCUUAAAGCGUCCGUAGCCGGGUUGGGAAGUCCUCCGGGAAAUCUGGCCGCUUAACGGUCAGAAUGCCGGAGGAAACUCCCAGCCUAGGGAGCGGGGGAGGCCGAGGGGAUUCCCGGAGUAGGGGUGAAAUCCUAUAAUCCCGGGAGGACCACCUGUGGCGAAGGCGCUCGGCUGGAACGCGUCCGACGGUGAGGGACGAAGGCCAGGGGAGCAAACCGGAUUAGAUACCCGGGUAGUCCUGGCUGUAAACGAUGCGGACUUUGUGUCGGACAAGCUAUGAGCUUGUCCGGUGCCGGAGGGAAACCGUUAAGUCCGCCGCCUGGGGAGUACGGCCGCAAGGCUGAAACUUAAAGGAAUUGGCGGG